AACUUUUGACAAUGGAUCACUUGGCUCUCGCAUCGAUGAAGAACGCAGCGAUAUGCGAUAAGUAAUGUCAAUUGCAGAAUUCAGUGAAUCAUCGAAUCUUUGAACGCACCUUGCGCCCUUUGGCUAUUCCAAAGGGCAUGCCUGUUUUAGUAUCGUGAACACCUCAUCUCUCACGUUUUGCCGUGAUGAGCUUGGUCUUUGUAGGUCUUGCCGGCCCAUGGUCGGCUCCUCUCAAAUGAAUCAGCUUGCCAGUGUUUGGUGGCAUCGCAGGUGUGAUAACUAUCUACGCUUGUGGUUCUCCACCAGGUAACCUUCAGUGAUGGAGGUUCGCUGGGGCUCACAAAUGUCUCUCCUCGGUGAGGACAGCUUUUGAACGUUCGAUCUCAAAUCAGGUAGGACUACCCGCUGAACUUAAGCAUAUCAAUAAGCGGAGGCU
rnacentral:misc_RNA from 1 species